CCCAGUUUCAACCUCGAUACCAACACAACCUUCAUCAUCAUCUGAGUCUACUCCAGCUUCUCCUCCAGCAGGAUUUCCAGUUUCCACUGUGAUCACUGUGUCUGUAAUUCUGCUGCUGCUUCUGAUUGGAAUCAUAUUCCUCUUUGUGAUUCUACAUAAGAAAUGCAGGAUACAAGGUCUAGUCUGUUUAAUAUUAUUUACAAACUUCAUCUUUAAGGAGACAUAUUUACUACACUACUUGCUGUUUAAUCAUGUCUGAAUGGUUUCAGAUGCUCGGAGUGUGUGUGUAUGUGUGUGUGUGUGUGUGUCUGUCUGUCUGUGUUGUUAACCUUGUUCAUUAGUCAGUUACAUGUUCAGUAGGAGGAGUAGUUAGUGACACAGUGAUCCUGUCCAUGCUGACCAACAAUGAGCACGGAUGAGAAGAGACAGAAAAUGAACCCAUAAUACAGAUGAAUAAAUACACCACAGGAUUUCCGGCCAUCAUAAAAUCCAAAGCUAAUAAUAACAGAAAUAACAACUACUGACUACUUGGAUGUUUUUUGUUUCAGCAGGUACAGCUUCUAUUGGUGAGAGUUCUGUCCAAGGCUCAGGAAACGACCAAGAGGAGGUUAAAGACACCAGACGCCUGUCUGCCUCAGACGCUGGAAAAAUUUACUGCAAUGUUCAACUACCCACAAUCCCCUCUGAUCCUCCUCAAAAUGUUUAUGCCAACAUGUAGUUGAAACGUUUAUUCUACUGCUCAAUUACCCACAAUCGCUCCUGAUCAGGAAAUCUACUCCACAGCUCAGUUACCCACAAGUCUCUCUGAUUCCUCAGCCAGUGCUGAUCAGCAGUUAGUUGAGGAAUCUGCUGAAGGCCUGAAUUACGCAGCAGCCACCAGCUCUAAUGAUGCAGUUCCAAAGAUGAUCUGUCAGAAGCAAGCGAUAUCAUAUGUCUAUGAUACAGUCAGUCAUGUUAAUUCAUGUGGCUAGUUUAUAAUUAUUAUGUCUCUAAUCAUCACCAUCAUCAUCAUCAUCAUCAUCAUCAUCAUUAUUCCAUCCAUCCAUUCAUCCCAGUCGGUAUUUUUCAUCUUCAGUAACUGCGUCCUGGUCAGGUUUGCAGUAGAUCUGGAGCCUCGGGAACACUGGACGUAAGGCAGGAAUACACCCUGGGAGGAACACCAGUCCAUCGUAGCUUCUGGUAUUUUCUCUAAUUUUACAAUAAGUACAGAUUGCGAUUUUUCUGUAAUAUGAUCACUGCUUGUGGCUAUAUUCAUCUUUGUAUUUUCAUCCAUUUUGAAUAGCUAUAUGAACGUAUGGUAUGUACUGAGUGUAUUGUAUGUGUGGUCUAUGUUAUGUUUGGAAAGAAAUGCUGUAUGUAUUAAAUAUAUGGAGAAUGGUAUGCAUUGUACUGUAUAUAGGAGUAUGAUUUUAAAUAGUAUCUUUACAGAGUGUGAGUGCUAGAAGAAAGAGAGAAGUGGAGACAUUCGUCUUAUCUUAACCCCAAAGUCUCAAAAUCAGCUUGACCCGCUCACUUCACUUUUUGUUCACAUGUUGUUGUUCAUCUUUAUUUUGUCUUAUAGUGACCACACUCAUUACUGCUCUGCGUUCUUAUAUCAGCCAUCCUCAUGCCCUCUGUUUCAUAAUCAAGAAUGUCAUGUAUGCUUAUUCAGAUAAAAGCACAAAGUGUAUUUUUGCCAUUUAAAUGAUUUUUUUUAAAUGUUGAGUUCAUUAUGGACUGUUCACUUUUGAUGUUAUCAGCAGGAUGUUAUGCAAUAAAUAAACUUUCU